UACGUAGGGUGCGAGCGUUGUCCAGAAUUAUUGGGCGUAAAGAGCUUGUAGGCGGUCUGUCGCGUCUGCUGUGAAAAUCCGGGGCUCAACCCCGGACUUGCAGUGGGUACGGGCAGACUAGAGUGUGAUAGGGGAGACUGGAAUUCCUGGUGUAGCGGUGAAAUGCGCAGAUAUCAGGAGGAACACCGAUGGCGAAGGCAGGUCUCUGGGCCACUACUGACGCUGAGAAGCGAAAGCAUGGGGAGCGAACAGG
rnacentral:rRNA from 1 species